rnacentral:lncRNA from 1 species
AUUUUUAUCGCACAGCGCUGCUAUAUAAUUAUUGUUUCGUUUAAUUGCUAACUAACUCGCCACAUAAUACAAUAAUUUUCCCAUAGUAAUUCGAGUAAUUCCCAUAGUAAUAGUAAUACGACUGUCAUAUCAUUGAUUUGCGGGUUUCAUUGUAAGAAUCCUAUCAAAGUCAUGAAACACGCGCGUAUAAAUGUACCGAAUAUUAAAACUUGCUGAGUCACUGCCUGCCAAACACAGCAUGCACGCUACAACACCUCUGAUUUACUCUCAUAUAUUCUUGGAUUACCACAGAGAAUGUGAAGCCCUCGACAAACUUUAAACAAAUCAACAGAAAUAUUCGCCAUAGACUUCAGUUGCGUCGUAUGGAGCUUCUCUUGAAAAAUCGACUCCCGGUGAGGAAUUUCUCUCAUCAUUUCAUGUACUUCAACGCUUACUAACUAUUUGAUUAUGUUCUUAAUUAGAUCUGACACGAUAGCAGUUUCCUCUCCCCCAGUCAAUUUCUCCUUAAAUUAAACUUCAUUACUCAUUGGAUUAGAAAUAUAAUGGUUUCUGUUCGGUCUGAACCUCAUCAUAUCAACUUUAAUUGUUCAUAUCAAAUAAUGGUUCGUCUGUGGAACUUUUUUUUUUUAGAAAAAUUCAAGGUCCGACAAAUCCAAUGGGUUCUCAAGAACUUCGACUUGAUAAUGUGCUAUAAUAUUUGUUCGACUUAGUUUUAAAGUUUUAAUCAAUUCUAGUUAUUUGACAUUACAGUAAUCCCUCGCUAUGUAACGCUUCAUCUAGCUACCGCUGCUCCACUCCAUCGUGAGUUGUUAAGAAAUAUUAUUGAAAAUAAUCAUUUAAGGAUUUUCGCUGGUUCGCGGGUUUCUAAAGAAUUCGAUCAGAUUAAAAAAAACACGCGGAACUCGAUUGAAAGUAAGAGUGUGGGAAGGUUUGUAAACACUAAAAACAAUGGAAACUUACCAAACAAUUGCGAUAUCAUUCGAUCGAUUCCCAAUUGUAUAUUUCCCUUAUCGCGGCUACAUCUGGAUCGGAACACCCUCCAUAGGUGACGGAUUACUGUAAUUGAAAACGAGUUCACUAGAAUGAAUCAAGUAAAUUACAUCACAACAUGAUUGGUCUAACGUACUCGUUUUUUCCAGAAUCAGCAUCGCAUUCAUCACAGUUCAGAGGGAUAUAUAAGCGAUCAGGAUUCGAUUAUAACUUGAGCAUUUGCCCAACUUGGCCCUAAACAUUUGCCAGCGCUAAUACGAACCAGAAACAAAAAAUGUAAGGUCCUAGUCAACAUUUCAACUUGUUAACACAACACUAUUAAAGGUCUUAUCAUAUAUCCAUUCGUAAAUACUUAAGAAUUAUCCGACCAAUCGUGUCGGAAAAAAUCACAAUUUGCCUACCUAAAAAUAAAAUAGGAAUAUUUUAAACCACUAAAGAGCUGAAACGUCAAUAAAAUCAUUUCCCUGGAUUUUAGUUGAAUUUUCUUAUGUAAAUUAUAAGCUCUGAAUAUCUUCAGGGUAAGCGUGCAUGCUCUUAACACGGCCACUGUACGAAGAUAAAUGAAGUGUCUAAAUUCAUUCAAUUGUUGUUCGAAAAUUACUACGAAUGCAAGUUUGAUGCGCUAUAUAAACGUUUAUUGUAAUGAUGCUCACGAACUUAGGCUUAUUGUAAUAAUGCACACAAAUGUAAGCGUAUUGUAAUAGUGCCCAUGAGGCUAGGCUUAUUGUAAUGAUGCUCACGAGCUUAAGCUUAUUAAAACAAUGUACGUGCAUAAAUAUUGUAAAAUGUCAGUAAUGCACGUUGCUGCACUUAUCGUACGAAUGCACUCUAAUUGUUUAGAUACACAAACGGUUUUUGAACAAUAAUUUGGAGAUACUUCUUAUGAAUGAAUAAUUAAAAUGACUGACACUUUUUAGUUUCACCAGCAAAGACCUUAAUUUUUUCCUGACAAAACAUAACACCUAUACAUACAAUAUACAACAUACAUACAAUACCGUAUAAUAUAACUUACAAUUUCGUAUAACACGUGUGUGUGCAUUCAAUAACACGGCUUUUACUGCGCCGUGAUUAUUAGUAUGAGUUACAACGUUUGUGAUUAUUAUAUUUAAAAUGCUUUAUGUUGCACAAAUUUUUGUAAAUCUCAAGUAACUUUGUUACUAUUUUAGGUAACAAAUAAUUAGCAAAAAUAUAAAAAUGUACAUGAUAUGUUAUACCUAUAUUAUUUGUGAUAAUUCUAGACUGCUAACUUUCCUGUUAAUAUUCACUGACUUUAUAUCUCGACUGUGUUGAUGGUGACAAAAUCUGCUAUGCCGUAUCAUUAUUAUUUCGAUUACGUAUUGUCAAUGACUGUUAUCCAGUAAUUAUAUUCAAUUAAUUAACGUAGUUAACGAAAGACUUUCUACUUGGAUGAUGCGAGGCUUUUGUGUUAUUAAAUAGCAUUAAGUGUAUACUCGAUAAAAUCAUUGCCACGUAAAAGAAGGGCAGAACAUUGGAAUUCUAGCUUGUACUGGUAUUUUAAGUACAUCGUACUACUUAAUGACGAAUUGUACUUCGACAUUGAUAGCACUACUUAGCACAAUGUUAAUAACCGUGGCUUACAUUCCGUCACCCUUGUCAAAGUGGUCGAUGAGAGAAGUAAGGAAGAAAAGAGAAGUAAAUCUCUUAGGUAAUUAGGACAGAGAACACAUCAAAGUGGGUUUGUUUAUGUUGGUGGACGCAGUGUCAUUAACUUUACUUUGAAAAGAAAGUCCAGUCCAAUUCUAUGGAAAGGACUAUAUGGUUAUGGUCACGUCUUUGUGCGUCAAGCUACGAUUAUUUCGUCACGGUCAGCAUUAUAAGUCACACGACUGCAGCCACCGCAAAUUAUUGUAAUUUGUACCGAUUAUUUGUCAUUAUUCAAAUUGUACCGAUAGCAAGAAAUGUAACCCGCAACUCACUGCUCCAAUCUUGUUAGUCAUAACCGCCAGGCCAACUCGCCGGUUCCGAACAGAAAUACUACAGUUAGUUGCGGUUGUCAAACCCACAACUCACUGCUUGUUUCUAUAUUCUGCUCACUGCUUGUCUGCGACUAUAUAUACGUGGAAUCGAUCAACGUACAGUAGACCACGGUUAAUGUCCGUAUUUUUUUCGUUAAAUAUUGCUUUUAAGUAUCAGUCGAGAUAUGAAUUUCUAAAUAAUGUUUGACUCAUCUCUUCAGCUAGUGUCUGAAGAAUGCUGCGCCAUUAUUGCCUAUUGCCAGUAAAAGCUAGAACUUAGCGGUACAUUUCGCUACCCUUCUUUUCAAAAGACAUCUAAUUAUAUAGAAUUCAUCUAAGAUAGUUGAAUGAACAAGAAGAACCGACCGACGAGGAAAACCCCUUCGGUCCUCAUCGGAUUCUGAGAUGACUGUCCGUUGUUCAUUAAUGGUAAAAAAUAUCAAUUUAAAACAAGCAUUAAUUGCUUGAAUGAUAGGAAGAAAGGUCGCUAAAAUUCACGUAAAACCAUUCUGAUGAUUUACAUAAAUAUGGUUGCGCUGUAGCGAGUUACUUUACCAAAAGCAAGUUACAAUAAUGAUACAAGUAGCAAUAAAAUUCGUUUUAGUAACUGUAGCAUGCAAUGUUCUGGUUAAGUGCAUUGUUACGAAUUGAGUAAUAUUGACUUAAAUUUAAAUAUUUAUGUUAGUAGCAGGAUAAAAAUAAUGAUUUUAUUCAACAUAAUUCGUUUAUGAAACAAAUCAACAAUAUAACUAAUUCUUAUGUACUCGCAUCCUUGUCAUUUGAAAAUAAAUAAAGAAAUUGUGAUAUGUACGUAUAUGAAAUAAUGCCGGUAAAUUAAACUGAUAAUUUAUAUUCUUAAAAUUCCACUUUAUGUUUAUUUGUGAAACACUCACUUUUGCGAAACUCUGCCCGUGGAUGGCGUAGAAUGCGUAGCUCUGUGGCGUAGAAUGCGUAGCUGUAUGGCGUAGAAUGCGUAGCUGUAUGGCAUAGAAUGCGUAGCUGUGUGGCGUAGAAUGCGUAGCUGUAUGACGUAGAAUGCGUAGCUGUAUGGCAUAGAAUGCGUAGCUGUUUGGCGUAGAAUGCGUAGCUGCAUGGCGUAGAAUGCGUAGCUGUAUGGCGUAGAAUGCUUAGCUGUAUCUAAACGAGUGCUUUCAAGAUUCAUUCCAAUUGAUAAGGUAACAUUAUGAUAUAUUCUAAGAUAUUGUUUAUUUAUGAAUUUUGCUAGAUACUAGCAUUGUUUUUUCAAGAAACUACGCCCAUUAUAUGUCGUAAUAUUUGUUCAAAAGUAAUUUUCUUCCAUGCACACAAACCAAUAGCAUAUUUUCAAAAUGUAUCUGUAAAUUUUUGUCAGUCUUUUCACAUUUCUGAUUGCUAAAUUAUACUUAUUUUCGGAUGAUGAUAGGCCAUGUUAUAUCUACAAUUUUGCUUAUGUUCAUUUUUUGCCGUAAAUAAAUUUGAUGGGGAUUCACUGAGAUAUUUUUUCUUGAAUGAGUGUGAUAAGAAUAUAGAAAAUUGAUAAUGUAAUAGUGUGUUUAUAUUGUUUACGUUUAAACGAUUUCCUUCUCGCUGGCACAUUUUCCUUGAGCACUUUGUACAUAUAUAUAGCUAUUGAAAAUGUACGUCACAGCAUUUUGAUUUGAACCACUUAUAUUACUGUGUAUUUUAUUCAGAAAUAAGUUAGUUGAUGUCAUCAAAAGAAUAAGAGUUAGCCCAUUUAUAGACUAACUUAUGAUUAUGAUGGAAGUAAGGUUAGAGUUAGGCCUUGUCGCCCCUGAAGCUGAGUAAUUAUAGCUUGUUUCUUGAUUAUAUGUCCUUUUUUCAGUGUUUCCAGUUGUAAUAGGUCCCAUUAUCACAGAAUUUUUGGAAGAAAUAAAACCUUUUAUACCGUACCUUCGGUGUCGCGAAUUCCGUGUCGUCAUUUCAAAGCAAAAUUCCUUUAAGUUGCACUGCAUGCGCAGAUCUUCCUUGUAACCAUCGAUCAUCACUUCUUUGUAACCAUCAUCACUUCUUUGUAAUCAUCAUCACUUCUUUGUAAUCAUCAUCACUUCUUUGUAAUCAUCAUCACUUCUUUGUAACCAUCAUCACUUCUUUCUAAUCAUAAUCACAUCUUUGUAACCAUCAUCAUUACCAUGUAACCAUCAUCACUUCAUUGUAACCAUCAUCACUUCUUUGCAAUCAUCAUCAUCACUUCUUUGUAACCAUCAUCAUUUCUAUGUAACCAUCGCUCUACGCACAUUAAUAAAUAAAUACUUCUAAUCACUUAAGGAUCCAUCGCCAUAUCCUAUUUGCUUUCCUUAACCCGAAAAAAUAUUUUUAAUUUUUUGUGGGAAAAUAAAAAAUAAUUCACACAAUUGUUGGAAGCGUUCAUUUAUCCUUUGUAAAAUUAGGUACACAGAUACAUCGGUUCAGUAAGCACGAAUUUCUCAAAUUA